rnacentral:tRNA from 1 species
AUCGGGAUAGGCUCAGGGGUAGAGCAGUCGGCUCUGGACCGACCGGACGCAGGUUCAAGUCCUGCUCCCGAUU